UACAAGCCAGGUGUGAAGGUGCUUUACACGUGUAUGUGGGGAGUAGAUCAAGCUCACAAACUCAUCUGGCAAAGGACAAGCAGCCAACACCAGGUGUUAAGCUGCUAAGAGUUGGAUUUCCAAGGAUCAGCUCUGUCAAAAGAGGAGGAACAGUACACUUGGUCCUCUCUGACCUCUGUUACACUUCCCAUCCUCCACCUGUUAUUGAAGGCAGAUGGUUCAGAGCUGGCUUCAACUUGCUCCUUUGAUAUUCCAAGACAAUAUUCUUCAGGCUUUGCCGAUUUCAGUGUAUCUUUUGGUUUUGUGCCCCUCUGCAAGUAGGUACAUGUUGUUUCCAAAUGCUGUUCUCCUGGAAACAGAAAACAAGGAAGCUUACUGUACUGAAUUCAACCAAUAACAGAGGUGAAAUCUUGCCAUUUGGAAGCAGAGAGCCAGGGAGGCAGAGGCAGCUGUACAAUGCUGCAGAUGUGGAAAAGCAGUAAAUCACUGCUCAGACCAGAGGGCUGGCAGGUUCCCUGCCAUCUGGGCUGGUUGCUCUGCCCACAGAUAUCAGACAUGCAUGUGCCACAGGAGGACCCUGUCCAGGAUGUGUGUGCCACACACAUGAGGACUGGUGGUGCACACACAGUAUGUUUGACAUGGAAAAUAUUGGACUUUUUAAUUUUGAUCCUGACAGUAGUCAAGACCUGAAUGCUGCUUAAGAAGUAACAGAAGAAGCAGCAAGGUUAGAAGGGACAUAUGGAAGAAGCUGCAACUGUCCUGCAGACACUGUCAGGCAGUGGUUUCCAGAUGAUACAUAUCCACAAUUUCCAUUUUUAAGAAGCACAAGGGCCUUUUGUCCGUGGUUUUGUGAGAGGAAUAUUAUUUCUGCCUUUUCUUAUUUCAUCACCAGGGAACCCAUUCUCCAGCCAACCAGAAGAAAACUAUACGGAAGGAAGCAGAAGAAAAAAAAAGAAAAAGAAAAGAAAAGAAACAAAAAAACAAAAACAAACAAACAAACAAAAACCACAAACAAAAAACACCACACCAAAACAGCCAAGCUACUGCUGAUCGUAUUAAUUUAUGUAUCUUGUUUAUA